AGUGAACGCUGGCGGUAGGCCUAACACAUGCAAGUCGAACGGCAGCACAGUAAGAGCUUGCUCUUACGGGUGGCGAGUGGCGGACGGGUGAGGAAUACAUCGGAAUCUACUUUUUCGUGGGGGAUAACGUAGGGAAACUUACGCUAAUACCGCAUACGACCUACGGGUGAAAGCAGGGGAUCUUCGGACCUUGCGCGAUUGAAUGAGCCGAUGUCGGAUUAGCUAGUUGGCGGGGUAAAGGCCCACCAAGGCGACGAUCCGUAGCUGGUCUGAGAGGAUGAACAGCGACACUGGAACUGAGACACGGUCCAGACUCCUACGGGAGGCAGCAGUGGGGAAUAUUGGACAAUGGGCGCAAGCCUGAUCCAGCCAUACCGCGUGGGUGAAGAAGGCCUUCGGGUUGUAAAGCCCUUUUGUUGGGAAAGAAAAGCAGCAGGUUAAUACCCCGCUGUUCUGACGGUACCCAAAGAAUAAGCACCGGCUAACUUCGUG
rnacentral:rRNA from 1 species